rnacentral:lncRNA from 1 species
CAUAAUAAUGCAUGUGGAAGCCAGGAAAGCCAGGUUUUAGGCAGUCUCAGAACAUCUGGUGAAUUCAGCUUGGGAAAAAAAAAAAAAAAAAAACGGGCAAAGGGAGAGAGGACAGAGCCCUCUGGAAGCAGUUGCCAGGUACUGGGUAUCCAAAAACAUUGUACGGGUUGACCCAAGUGUUCUCGCUUCCCUCCUCCCUAGUUAGUGGAAUGGAACCCAUGAGAUUGGCGAUGUUAGAAAUUCAGAGGAGAAAAAUGGCUCUUGGCACCAUUGGCAAACACAUGGAGGUCUAUGCCUGGACGACGAGGGGAACGCACGUCUCUCGGAGUUCCCGCCUGCGGUGCGAAUAGAAUGUUCCCGUUCAGAAGUGGAACUACUCACCUGGAUCCGACGCGGGUGACAUGGCACCCGGAGGCUUUAAAAAAAAAAUCUCGGUCCCUAAUGAGAAACAGCCGCGUGCGGAAUAAAAUUAGUAAUCGAACUUUCUUGCCAGCUUCCUUCGGAGCGCAAGAUCGUCCCUCUUGGUCUCUAAACAAUACGCCAAUCAUCAGAUGUUGGGAAAUCGUCUCUGAAUUUUCUCUCUUUCUCCCACUUCUUCUGACUUGGAUCUCGGCGUUCCGUCAGCGUUCUGCCUCGGUAUUGGCCAAGUUCACGUUUGCCAGUUGCCGAGUGGAUAAUAGAUGGUUUGUAAGAUUCGUAAUCUGUUGGGGAGACGGAGACACGAACAAUCGGGCAGUCUUUGCCUGUGUGAUAAAAAUGAUGCUCAUGAGUCUCUGCUUGACCCCGGAGGCCAGACUCGUGCUGAAGGACAAUGGGAACCAAGUGACUUAAUGCCCAGUCAGUCAUUGCUUGAGCCUCUCUGAGCAGACAGCCCACAGGACCCCCUGGUAAUCAGUUCAGAGUUAAUUCUUGCUUGUGGGGAAGACUGGAGUCUGCUGGCCCAAAGGAGACCAAAACCAGGGUGUGAAGUCACUGGUUUAAAAUAAAAGGGGGAAAAAAAA